rnacentral:rRNA from 1 species
GUGCACCAGUCGCGAAUACUUUACAAUGUGCGAAAGCACGAUAAGGGAACUCUGAGUGCCUCCUAAGGAGGCUGUUCAGGUGUCUAAAAGCACCUGAAGGAAGGGCUGGGUAAGACCGGUGCCAGCCGCCGCGGUAACACCGGCAGCCCAAGUGGUAGCCACGUUUAUUGGGUCUAAAGCGUCCGUAGCCGGCUGGGUAAGUUCCUUGGGAAAUUUGGCUGCUUAACAGUCAAGCUUUCAGGGAAUACUGCCCGGCUUGGGACCGGGAGAGGUCAGAGGUACUCCAGGGGUAGGGGUGAAAUCCAUUAAUCCUUGGGGGACCACCGGUAGCGAAGGCGUCUGACCAGACCGGGUCCGACGGUGAGGGACGAAGGCUAGGGGCGCGAACCGGAUUAGAUACCCCCGUAGU